rnacentral:rRNA from 1 species
GACGAACGCUGGCGGCGUGCCUAACACAUGCAAGUCGAACGGAGAAUCAGCAAUGAUUCUUAGUGGCGAACGGGUGAGUAGCGCGUAGACAACCUGCCUUCUAGAUGGGGACAACACUGCGAAAGUGGUGCUAAUACCGAAUGAGUUUUUCUUCCCGCAUGGGAAGAAACAGAAAGGUGGCCUCUAUUUAUAAGCUAUCGCUAGAAGAUGGGUCUGCGGCUGAUUAGCUAGUUGGUGAGGUAAAAGCUCACCAAGGCGACGACGGGUAGCUGGUCUGAGAGGAUGGCCAGCCACAUUGGGACUGAGACACGGCCCAGACUCCUACGGGAGGCAGCAGUGGGGAAUAUUGUGCAAUGGGCGAAAGCCUGACGCAGCGACGCCGCGUGUGGGAUGACGGCCUUCGGGUUGUAAACCACUGUCGGGAGGGACGAAUGCCCCGCAAGGGGAGUGACGGUACCUCCAAAGGAAGCACCGGCUAACUCCGUGCCAGCCGCCGCGGUAAAAC